GAUACUGUGGCUGAGUGGACUAAGCGCAAUGUUAAGGGCAUUGUUUUCAGGGGUUCAAAUCCUCUCAGUAUCA